rnacentral:misc_RNA from 1 species
CCGAGUUUACAACUCCCAACCCUUCUGUGAACAUACCUCUCGUUGCUUCGGCGGACUCGCCCCGGCGCCCGGACGCGGGUCCAGGCGGCCGCCGGAGGCACCCAAAACUCACUGUAUCAUCGGCAUCUUCUGAAUCCGCCGCAAGGCAAACCAAAUGAAUCA